GUAGGUUAUGAGUAUGUGUUUGGUUUUGAGAAUAGUGAACCCUAGGGAGAGAAAUCUGAGUUUGAAAGUAUGAACACGAACCCUAGGUGCUUCGAUUUGGUUGAUUUAGGAACAAUUAGGUUUGGAUAAGUGGAUAUUUGGAUUGUAGACAUUGAGACGAGUCCAACGGAUAUGGCCAUGUCCAUUUUCGUUAACUUUUGAUGUUCUUCGUUUUUUUCAAUUUCUGGAAAUU
rnacentral:lncRNA from 1 species